UACGUAGGGUGCGAGCGUUGUCCGGAAUUAUUGGGCGUAAAGGGCUCGUAGGCGGUUUGUCGCGUCGGGAGUGAAAACCAGGUGCUUAACCCUGAGCCUGCUUCCGAUACGGGCAGACUAGAGGUAUGCAGGGGAGAACGGAAUUCCUGGUGUAGCGGUGGAAUGCGCAGAUAUCAGGAGGAACACCGGUGGCGUAGGCGGUUCUCUGGGCAUUACCUGACGCUGAGGAGCGAAAGUGUGGGGAGCGAACAGG
rnacentral:rRNA from 1 species